rnacentral:rRNA from 1 species
GCGUGCCUAAUACAUGCAAGUCGAGCGCAGGAAAUCGACGGAACCCUUCGGGGGGAAGUCGACGGAAUGAGCGGCGGACGGGUGAGUAACACGUAAAGAACCUGCCCUCAGGUCUGGGAUAACCACGAGAAAUCGGGGCUAAUACCGGAUGGGUCAUCGGACCGCAUGGUCCGAGGAUGAAAGGCGCUUCGGCGUCGCCUGGGGAUGGCUUUGCGGUGCAUUAGCUAGUUGGUGGGGUAAUGGCCCACCAAGGCGACGAUGCAUAGCCGACCUGAGAGGGUGAUCGGCCACACUGGGACUGAGACACGGCCCAGACUCCUACGGGAGGCAGCAGUAGGGAAUCUUCCACAAUGGACGAAAGUCUGAUGGAGCAACGCCGCGUGAACGAUGAAGGCCUUCGGGUCGUAAAGUUCUGUUGUAAGGGAAGAACAAGUGCCGCAGGCAAUGGCGGCACCUUGACGGUACCUUGCGAGAAAGCCACGGCUAACUACGUGCCAGCAGCCGCGGUAAUACGUAGGUGGCAAGCGUUGUCCGGAAUUAUUGGGCGUAAAGCGCGCGCAGGCGGCCUCUUAAGUCUGAUGUGAAAGCCCCCGGCUCAACCGGGGAGGGCCAUUGGAAACUGGGAGGCUUGAGUAUAGGAGAGAA